rnacentral:rRNA from 1 species
AACGAACGCUGGCGGCAUGCCUAACACAUGCAAGUCGAACGAAGGCUUCGGCCUUAGUGGCGCACGGGUGAGUAACGCGUGGGAAACUGCCUAUUGGUGGGGAAUAACGACGGGAAACUGUCGCUAAUACCGCAUAAGCCCUUCGGGGGAAAGAUUUAUCGCCGAUAGAUGUGCCCGCGUCCGAUUAGCUAGUUGGUGAGGUAAUGGCUCACCAAGGCGACGAUCGGUAGCUGGUCUGAGAGGAUGAUCAGCCACACUGGGACUGAGACACGGCCCAGACUCCUACGGGAGGCAGCAGUGGGGAAUAUUGGACAAUGGGCGGAAGCCUGAUCCAGCAAUGCCGCGUGAGUGAUGAAGGCCUUAGGGUUGUAAAGCUCUUUCGGGUGGGACGAUGAUGACGGUACCACCAGAAGAAGCCCCAGCUAACUUCGUGCCAGCAGCCGCGGUAA